rnacentral:rRNA from 1 species
GUCUGAUGCAGCAACGCCGCGUGGAGGAUGACACAUUUCGGUGCGUAAACUCCUUUUAUAUAAGAAGAUAAUGACGGUAUUAUAUGAAUAAGCACCGGCUAACUCCGUGCCAGCAGCCGCGGUAAUACGGGGGGUGCAAGCGUUACUCGGAAUCACUGGGCGUAAAGAGCAUGUAGGCGGAUUAAUAAGUUUGAAGUGAAAUCCUAUAGCUUAACUAUAGAACUGCUUUGAAAACUGUUAGUCUAGAAUGUGGGAGAGGUAGAUGGAAUUUCUGGUGUAGGGGUAAAAUCCGUAGAGAUCAGAAGGAAUACCGAUUGCGAAGGCGAUCUGCUGGAACAUUAUUGACGCUGAGAUGCGAAAGCGUGGGGAGCAAACAGGAUUAGAUACCCUGGUAGUCCACGCCCUAAACGAUGUACACUAGUUGUUGUGAGACUUGAUCUUGCAGUAAUGCAGUUAACACAUUAAGUGUACCGCCUGGGGAGUACGGUCGCAAGAUUAAAACUCAAAGGAAUAGACGGGGACCCGCACAAGCGGUGGAGCAUGUGGUUUAAUUCGACGAUACACGAAGAACCUUACCUGGACUUGACAUAGUAAGAACUUUCUAGAGAUAGAUUGGUGUCUGCUUGCAGAAACUUAUAUACAGGUGCUGCACGGCUGUCGUCAGCUCGUGUCGUGAGAUGUUGGGUUAAGUCCCGCAACGAGCGCAACCCUCGU